GGAAUUUUCCGCAAUGGGCGAAAGCCUGACGGAGCAGCGCCGCGUGAGGGAUGAAGGCCUCUGGGCUGUAAACCUCUUUUCUCAAGGAAGAAGGUCUGACGGUACUUGAGGAAUAAGCCACGGCUAAUUCCGUGCCAGCAGCCGCGGUAAUACGGGAGUGGCAAGCGUUAUCUGGAAUUAUUGGGCGUAAAGCGUCCGCAGGCGGCCUUUUAAGUCUGCUGUCAAAACGUGGAGCUUAACUCCAUACCGGCAGUGGAAACUGGAAGGCUUGAGUGUGGUAGGGGCAGAGGGAAUUCCCGGUGUAGCGGUGAAAUGCGUAGAUAUCGGGAAGAACACCAGUGGCGAAGGCGCUCUGCUGGGCCAUAACUGACGCUCAUGGACGAAAGCCAGGGGAGCGAAAGGGAUUAGAUACCCCUGUAGUCCUGGCCGUAAACGAUGAACACUAGGUGUCGGGGGAAUCGACCCCCUCGGUGUCGUAGCCAACGCGUUAAGUGUUCCGCCUGGGGAGUACGCACGCAAGUGUGAAACUCAAAGGAAUUGACGG
rnacentral:rRNA from 1 species